rnacentral:rRNA from 1 species
UACGUAGGGACCGAGCGUUGUCCGGAAUCAUUGGGCGUAAAGAGCGUGUAGGCGGCUAUUUAAGUCCUGCGUGAAAUCCUGCGGCUCAACCGCAGACGGUCGUGGGAAACUGGAUGGCUAGAGUGCGGGAGAGGAGAGUGGAAUUCCCAGUGUAGUGGUGAAAUACGUAGAGAUUGGGAAGAACACCAGUGGCGAAGGCGGCUAUCUGGACGGUUUCUGACGCUAAGACGCGAAAGCGUGGGGAGCAAACAGG